rnacentral:rRNA from 1 species
AUUGAACGCUGGCGGAAUGCUUUACACAUGCAAGUCGAACGGUAGAGGGGGCAACCCCUCGAGAGUGGCGAACGGGUGAGUAAUAUAUCGGAACGUGCCCAGUCGUGGGGGAUAACGUAGCGAAAGUUACGCUGAUACCGCAUACGCUCUAAGGAUGAAAGCGGGGGAUCGCAAGACCUCGCGCGAUUGGAGCGGCCGAUAUCAGAGUAGGUAGUGGGGGGGGUAAAGGCUCACCAAGCCAACGAUCUGUGGCUGGUCUGAAAGGACGACAAGCAACACUGGAACUGAGACCCGGUCCAGACUCCUACGGGAGGCAGCAGUGGGGAAUUUUGGACAAUGGACGCAAGUCUGAUCCAGCCAUUCCGCGUGCAGGGUGAAGGCCCUCGGGUUGUAAACUGCUUUUGUACGGAACGAAAAGGUCUCUCUUAAUACGGGGGGCUCAUGACGGUACCGUAAGAAUAAGCACCGGCUAACUACGUGCCAGCCGCCGCAGUAA